UUUUCAUGAUGAUUGUGUUUAACAAAUUGCACUAGCACCCUCUAGUGGGUGUUAACUAGUAAGCAUCACCCUGAGAAGCAAACGACAAACUUCGUGUAAUAUAGCAAAGUUAUAUGUACAAAACAGAACUAUCAUACCAACCUUGUUC